UGUCCCUGAUCUGGGUAGAGUGGCACCUGGUUGGUGGUGCUUGUCUCAUAUCAGUCAGGGAUAAAGCAACUCCUUGUUUAUCCCAGCUUGGCUUUUGGUCUGUGCCGGUGCCUGGUUCAUGCCCUGGAUACAUGG
rfam:Ailuropoda melanoleuca scaffold699_127, whole genome shotgun sequence.